UGGUGGAGUGAUUUGUCUGGUUAAUUCCGUUAACGAACGAGACCUUAACCUAUUAAAUAGUUUUCUAAACAUGACCCUUCUGGGUCAUAUGUUUGUUUAACUUCUUAGAGGGACUCUUCACUGGGAGAGUGAAUGGAAGUUUGAGGCAAAAACA
rnacentral:rRNA from 1 species